AUUGAACGCUGGCGGCAGGCCUAACACAUGCAAGUCGAACGAGUGGCGGACGGGUGAGUAAUGUCUGGGAAACUGCCUGAUGGAGGGGGAUAACUACUGGAAACGGUAGGUAAUACCGCAUACCAUCAGAUGUGCCCAGAUGGGAUUAGCUUGUUGGUGGGGUAACGGCUCACCAAGGCGACGAUCCCUAGCUGGUCUGAGCGGAUGACCAGGCACCCUGGAACGGAGACCCGGUCCAGACUCCUACGGGAGGCAGCAGUGGGGAAUAUGGCACAAUGGGCUCAAGCCUGAUGCAGCCAUGCCGCGUGGAGUGAGAAGGCCUUCGGGUUGUAAAGUACUUUCAGCGGGGAGGCGUUACCCGCAGAAGAAGCACCGGCUAACUCCGUGCCAGCAGCCGCGGUAAUUC
rnacentral:rRNA from 1 species